rnacentral:rRNA from 1 species
CUUCAUGAAGCUGGAAUUGCUAGUAAUGGCAGGUCAGCAUACUGCCGUGAAUACGUUCCCGGGCCUUGUACACACCGCCCGUCACACCAUGAGAGUUGGAAAUACCCGAAGCCUGUGAGCUAACUUAAAGAGGCAGCAGUCGAAGGUAGAGCCAAUGAUUGGGGUGAAGUCGUAACAAGGUACC